rnacentral:rRNA from 1 species
GAUGAACGCUGGCGGCGUGCCUAAUACAUGCAAGUCGAGCGAACAGACGAGGGGCUUGCUCCUCUGACGUUAGCGGCGGACGGGUGAGUAACACGUGGAUAACCUACCUAUAAGACUGGGAUAACUUCGGGAAACCGGAGCUAAUACCGGAUAAUAUAUUGAACCGCAUGGUUCAAUAGUGAAAGACGGUUUUGCUGUCACUUAUAGAUGGAUCCGCGCCGCAUUAGCUAGUUGGUAAGGUAACGGCUUACCAAGGCAACGAUGCGUAGCCGACCUGAGAGGGUGAUCGGCCACACUGGAACUGAGACACGGUCCAGGCUCCUACGGGAGGCAGCAGUAGGGAAUCUUCCGCAAUGGGCGAAAGCCUGACGGAGCAACGCCGCGUGAGUGAUGAAGGUCUUCGGAUCGUAAAACUCUGUUAUUAGGGAAGAACAAAUGUGUAAGUAACUAUGCACGUCUUGACGGUACCUAAUCAGAAAGCCACGGCUAACUACGUG